CCUCUUUCUCUUUCCCGUGUUCGUCUUCUUCAUGUGCUCUUGGUAGUUUCAUCUACCGAAUUAUUUUAGUAUAAUUUCUUGAAUGAAAUCCGAGGUCUAUUAAUUGAUAACAGUCCUCUCUGUGUCGGUAAUUUAUACCUGUUUUGAAGGUCUUUGAGAGUUCGAACGAUACUUUGCAUGUUAUUGAGGCUAUGCUGAUGGAUUUAAACGUAAUCGUAAAGGAUGCUAAACAAGGGGAUUAAACGUUAAAAGUGGUUACUGAACCUACGGGGCCUAAGGCCGAAAAAUUCUUUUGUUCUUUACUUUCUUGUUUACAUUUUUGUGUUCUUGAUGCUAGUUAAGUCUUAAUCUGGGACCAACAGAGAUAUCAGAGUCCAAAAGUUUGAUGUGAAAGUUGAUCCAUUUUUGUUAUUCUUCUGGUUUUUUCCAAACCUUAGAUCUUUAAUGAUUUGUUGAUAUUUUUCAAGGAAGUUCUCUGAUCUGAACAUGGUGUGGAUUUUUUGGUAUUCUUGGUUAUUUCUUUGAAACGCAGCUUCGGUAACAGGUUUCUCAACCUCUUCUUCAUAGUUUUUUCAACUUCAAGUAAUCUUUGAAAAGGAUUGUUGAAAACCUCCCUUAAAUUUACCUUUGUCUAGGGAUCUUGAGAGAACCAUAGAAUCUGAG
rnacentral:lncRNA from 1 species